UACGUAGGUGGCAAGCGUUGUCCGGAUUUAUUGGGUUUAAAGGGUGCGUAGGCGGCCCUGUAAGUCAGUGGUGAAAUACUCCAGCUUAACUGGAGGGGUGCCAUUGAUACUGCAGGGCUUGAGUACAGAUGAAGUAGGCGGAAUUGACGGUGUAGCGGUGAAAUGCAUAGAUAUCGGAAGGAACACCCGUAGCGAAGGCGGCUUCCUGGAUUCAGACUGACGCUGAGGCGCGAAAGCGUGGGUAGCGAACAGG
rnacentral:rRNA from 1 species